rnacentral:tRNA from 1 species
GGUGGCUUAGUGGUAGAGUGCUUGCCUUGCAUGCAAGAGUCCCUAGGUUCAAGUCCUUAACACCA